rnacentral:rRNA from 1 species
UACGUAGGUGGCAAGCGUUGUCCGGAUUUACUGGGCGUAAAGAGCGCGCAGGCGGCCGAGUCAGUCGAAUGUGAAAGCCCCCGGCUCAACUGGGGAGGGUCAUUCGAUACUGCUCGGCUUGAAGGUGGGAGAGGGAAGCGGAAUUUCAGGUGUAGUGGUGAAAUGCGUAGAUAUCUGAAGGAACACCAGUGGCGAAGGCGGCUUUCUGGCCCACUCUUGACGCUGAGGCGCGAAAGCUAGGGGAGCAAACGGG